ACGCAUGUUAAGGAUAUAUCCGCAGGAGCUCCUUGAACCUAUCCUAUGUCUCAAAAAGAGACUCCAAUUCUGUUUGCAUAAAAGAAGAUAUCUCAUUCCUAAGCCU